GUGAGUAGAACAGUAAUAAAGAACAGGUGAUAAAACAUGCUUUCAUGCAAUGUAUCACAUCACAAGUAAUCACAUCUCAGCAUGGACGGAUCAACACUCCCUCUAUACCAUAUGCCUGGUCCCCGUAGGGCUGUUCCAGGUCUUUAUGCCUGGUCCCCGUAGGGCUGUUCCAGGUCUUUCUUCUGAGGGCUAUUGAAUCCUUACUAUGUCCAUACAGUCAUAGAAUCAAGGAUAAAUGCAAUGCAUCAUAUUCGUGUACACUAAUGCAC
rnacentral:lncRNA from 1 species